GCGUUUCAUCCUAUCACGUGGUAGAGCACGCGUCCCCGGGAAGGAUGAAUCGCGGGUUCGAUUCCCGCCUGAGGCU